rnacentral:rRNA from 1 species
AGGACGAACGCUGGCGGCGUGCUUAACACAUGCAAGUCGAACGAUGAAGCCCUUCGGGGUGGAUUAGUGGCGAACGGGUGAGUAACACGUGGGCAAUCUGCCCUGCACUCUGGGACAAGCCCUGGAAACGGGGUCUAAUACCGGAUAACACUUUUCCCUGCAUGGGGAAAGGUUAAAAGCUCCGGCGGUGCAGGAUGAGCCCGCGGCCUAUCAGCUUGUUGGUGGGGUGAUGGCCUACCAAGGCGACGACGGGUA